rnacentral:rRNA from 1 species
AGUGAACGCUGGCGGUAGGCCUAACACAUGCAAGUCGAACGGCAGCACAGUAAGAGCUUGCUCUUACGGGUGGCGAGUGGCGGACGGGUGAGGAAUACAUCGGAGUCUACUUUUUCGUGGGGGAUAACGUAGGGAAACUUACGCUAAUGCCGCAUACGACCUACGGGUGAAAGCAGGGGAUCUUCGGACCUUGCGCGAUUGAAUGAGCCGAUGUCGGAUUAGCUAGUUGGCGGGGUAAAGGCCCACCAAGGCGACGAUCCGUAGCUGGUCUGAGAGGAUGAUCAGCCACACUGGAACUGAGACACGGUCCAGACUCCUACGGGAGGCAGCAGUGGGGAAUAUUGGACAAUGGGCGCAAGCCUGAUCCAGCCAUACCGCGUGGGUGAAGAAGGCCUUCGGGUUGUAAAGCCCUUUUGUUGGGAAAGAUAAGCAGCAGGUUAAUACCCCGCUGUUCUGACGGUACCCAAAGAAUAAGCACCGGCUAACUUCGUG